rnacentral:piRNA from 1 species
UGUGAUGUUUUUUACUACUAC